UAGAUCAAAGCGUGGUCAUCUUGUGUCU
rnacentral:sRNA from 1 species